GCCUGCAGGACGAAUCGCUGGUCGGCGUGCAUAACGCAUGCAAGUCGAGCGGGGAUGCUAAGUGGAGAGGGGGCAAUCUCCUCGAAAGCUUAGCAUCUUAGCGGCUGAACGGGUGAGUAACACGUGAGCAACCUACCCCUCUGCUCGGGGAUAACAGCUCGAAAGGGCUGCUAAUACCCGAUGGGACCACGUCACUGCAUGGUGAUGUUGUGAAAGGCUGGACGUAAGGUCCAUGCCGGCUGGCGAUGGGCUCGCGGCCCAUCAGCUAGUUGGUGGGGUAACGGCCUACCAAGGGCGACGACGGGUAGCCGGCCUGAGAGGGUGACCGGCCACAGUGGGACUGAGACACGGCCCACACUCCUACGGGAGGCAGCAGCGGGGAAUCUUUGCGCAAUGGGCGAAAGCCUGACGCAGCGACGCCGCGUGAGGGAAGGAGCCCUUCGGGGGUGUAAACCUCUUUGGACGGGGAGAAGUAGGAGAUAGUACCCGUUUUAAAAAGCCACGGCUAACUACGUGCCAGCAGCCGCGGUAAUACGUAGGUGGCGAGCGUUGUCCGGAAUUACUGGGCGUAAAGGGUGCGUAGGCGGCCUGGUAAGUUGAGCGUGAAAUUUUUGGGCUCAACCCAAAAGGAGCGUUCAAGACUGCCAGGCUUGAGUGCGGGGAGAGGACGGCGGAAUUCCCGGGUGUAGCCGGUGAAUGCGUAGAUAUCGGGAGGAACACCAGUGGCGAAAGCGGCCGUCUGGACCGUAACUGACGCUGAGGCACGAAAGCGUGGGGAGCAAACAGGAUUAGAUACCCUGGUAGUCCACGCUGUAAACGAUGGAUGCUAGGUGUGGGGGAGAAGAACUCUUCCGUGCCGUAGUUAACACAAUAAGCAUCCCGCCUGGGGAGUACGGCCGCAAGGUU
rnacentral:rRNA from 1 species